AAUUGGAAAACAUUAAAUGGCAAUUCAUAAAAUAUUUUUUCUAAACGCGUUUACCUCUUGGACCGUUAAUCCUGUGUCUAUUCCUUUUUCCUUAUAUUCAAGCACAAAAAAAGGGGAACUGAGCUCUAAAAUGGAAAGCGUUAGUGAUUAUUUUUAAGUUAACUUGAGAAAGUUUCACUAUGAGUCUCUUCCGGUUUUCAGGCCAGAAUUAGACCAUUGCCAACAUGUCCAGGGUGAGCACUGCUCAGUCUCAGAGUCACCCUUGUCUGUGCUGCUGUUUGUGCUAAAGGCACCACAAGCUACUGGAGAGAGUAUUACACAAUGUUUUCAUUAUGUGGUUUUGUCUUAAUUGGCUUGGAUGUCAGCAAAGAAGCUGUGGCUUUCAUGUAUUUUUUUUCACUGAGAUUGACCAGAACUGGCAAUUUAUGGCUUAUAGAGCUGAUGAUUUAGCGCUUUCCAAGUUAGAUAUGGGGCCAAGUGCUGCAGUAAUUAUUCUGCAGCAAUUUCUAAUGUAUCUUUGAAAGCUCAGCUUGGGGCUAAGUGAGGCUCAAAGGCAGUGCAGCAGCAGAACCAACAAAAUGGAGAAGGUGGUCACUUGCAGUUUGAAUCACAUUAUUACCCUUCUUUUCCAAAGGAAGCUUCCAGACUUCAAUUAAAUUGACUAAAGGUUGCUCUGUUUUCUACAGAAAUCAGAGCAAAACUGUCAUACAUAUAUAUGUGUGUGUUUGCUGGAAAAUUGUGCUAAAAUCACCUGUAAUCCAACCUAUCUUUCUGUGCUUUUCAACAACUGAAGACAUUAUUCAACAGCCUGAGGAUCUUUUUCCCUGGGUUGCCAUACAGCCAUUUUCUGACUGUGAGAGGAUGAAAAGAGGAAGAAGCUGUUUUUAACCAUAUUCCGGCUUCCCAUGCAGCCAGCUCCUCACAUCUUCCUUCAGAGCAGUUAAUACAUACCAUGACCUGAAGCAGAGGAGUGUGCAUCUGUAUCCAUCAGCUGGCAGUUUGCAUGACUUCCCAAAUGGUGGCUCUCUGAGCUGCUGGAGUGGCAGAUCAUCUGGUUGAUCCAGUAGAUCAUCUCUGAAAAGUUGCUAGGUUUUCAAGCAAGGCUUGACACAUGCAGCCAUUUGAGUACCAGUGCCAAGAGGAAGGAACAAAGCAGUCCUAGGGCAAUUUGGAUCUCCAGCUGAUCAGCUGAAAUCUCCUUCUUCAGUGAUGCUCCUAGUUCUCAUUUUCUCCAAACUCAAGUAAGGAAAGAGUUCAAUCAGGACCAGAAAAAACCUCUUCUGAUGCCUCUUUAUUUAUUGAUUGAUUUUAAUAUACCGCACAAUUUAUACCAAGGAUUAUGAAGUUUUGUUGGCACAUACAUUACUCUGAUGUAAUACUACCUUUUUUGAAAAUUUUCUUUUCAGAUAUUUCGACAGAGAAUGUUUUCACAUUACAAGAGGUCAGAAUGCUAAAAUAAACAGUAUUCAACUAAAUCUGGAAAAUCUCAGCUGAUUAACCAAUGUGCAUGUCUGUCUGUCUGUAUGUUUACAUAUAUAUAUAUAUACGAACAAAAAGAAUGUGAAAUGGAAACCAGAGAGAUUAGCAUGAUAUGAGCCAUGUUGCUAGUUCUUUAGCUGGCUUCAGAACCUACCUUCUUUAAUUUUCAGUUUUUGUAGUACUUUGGUAAUUCUCUGUGGUGUACUUCUUGCUCAGUUAAUAUUUUACAAGCUGUCUUUUGUUCACAUAAAUCUGUACCUGAAUUAUAUUUGAAUUUAUCACACCAUUUUCCCAGUGAGCAAUUUGUUUUGGUGCUUUUAUGUGCUGAAUUCUUGAAUACAUCAAUAGAAUACAAAAAAUACCCAGAAAAAGAGAAAAAGGUGUUGUUCUGUUUUGUUUUGUUUUUGUGGAACUGCCCACACAGGUGAGCAGUUUGUGAAUUCCAAGGACUUCAUAGAGGGCUAGAUUUUGUUUUUGGCUGUAGGGCAAACUGAAGGUUUUGGGACAGUGCAUACGUCUGGAUGCCUUCUCAUCAACUCUUAUGGAGAUUCAAGAGCAUUGUCUAUUGCAGAAAGUAAUGCUGGUAGA